rnacentral:rRNA from 1 species
CAAAAACAUGUCUUUUUGAAUUUAAAUAUAAAGUCUAACCUGCCCACUGUUUAAUGGCCGCAGUAUUUUGACUGUGCAAAGGUAGCAUAAUCAUUAGUCUUUUAAUUGAAGGCUUGUAUGAAUGGUUGAAUGAAAUAUUAACUGUCUUUUUAUUUUUUAGUUAAAAAGCUAAAAAAGACGAGAAGACCCUAUAAAUCUUUAAUUUUAUUGGGGUGAUAGUAAAAUUUAUUAAACUUUUACAUUGAUCCAUUUAUGAUUAAGUUACUUUAGGGAUAACAGCGUAAUUUUUUUAAAGAGUUCAUAUUGAUAAAAAAGAUUGCGACCUCGAUGUUGGAUUAAGAUAUAAAUUUAGGUGCAGAAGUUUAAAUUUAAAGUCUGUUCGACCUUACAUGAUCUGAGUCAAAACCGGAGA